rnacentral:rRNA from 1 species
AUGCUACUGCAUGAGGUGCACCUUGAUGAGUUUGCUGAGGAUGACAUUCUAUGGAAGCACACAAAAUCUGGGCACUACUCCGCAGCCUCUGCUUACAGGGCGCAAUUCUUGGGCUUGGUCCUCUCCCCCAUGGACCUAUUGGCGUGGAAGGCUUGGGCCCCACCUAAAGUCAAGUUCUUUGCUUGGCUCGCGCUUCAAGAUAGGAUCUGGACUGCCGAUAGAUUAGAUAAGCGAGGUUGGCCAAACUAUGGCCCUUGCCCCUUGUGCAGGGGGGUGCAGGAAUGUGGUCCCCAUCUUUUCUUCAGAUGCCACUUCAUUAUCAGGCUUUGGAAUCUGGUUAUUCAGAAAUUCCGCAUCCACGACAUGGACACCUCUGCAUGGCACUUGUUCUGUUCACGCGUGGUGGGCGAGCACGAGCGUCGUGGGCGAUGCCGACUGAAAAGCGAAGACAUCGAUUACCAUGCCGGUGACGUGGGUCAUUUAGAAUGA